CCGCUGGCAGCGCCCAGGAGCGACGUCGGCUGUGUGCUCUCUGAUUGGCUGCAGGCCUUGCCACUCUGCGAAGGGCGGGCUAUUCUUGAUAGGCCACAUCACACCUACCAAUCAAAUCGUGUUUCCAUUCCUCGAAGCCUGGCUCUUUUCCGGACGGCGUUACCAAUGAGAAAUGACCAGCCCCGAGUGCUCCUCUCUGAUUGGCGAACUCGGCAGUUCCCGGAACACCUUUUCUGAAGCAGAUUGGCCAUCCUGGUGUCUGGCCUCGCCUCCCAGGGGGAGGGCUGCUGAGGACGUGACUGUCGAUGGUGGAAGUGGAUGCCCUUCAAAGGGCUGAGCUAACCGCUUCUUGAUUGGUUGGAAGCUGCACUUACUACGUGGCGGAUUCUGACUGUGAAGGGGACGGACCCCCGGGAAAGGAGGAGUCGGGGCUAAGUCCCUGGUGGCCGGGAGGCUCUGAGAGUAAAGAGGUUUUGGCUGCGUGUCUGUUUGGAAAGGCAAAAGCGAGUCAGAAGAAAAAAAAUAAAUAAAGCGACUGCAGAGCGGUAUGAUUUGGAGGUGCCUGCAGGGGAUGGGGCGGUGCAGGGGACAGCCCUGUGGCCUGGACGCUAGUUAGGGAUUCAGGGACCUGAACAUAACCCCGUCCGCUCCUUACCGACUGCUAGGGCCCGGCCGGUGCACUCACGUCAUUGUCCAAGGUCACAGAGCAAGUUACAGAAUUGGACUUCAGAGUUCUCUGACUCUGGUGUGGCAGGCUUUGUACCUCCCGCCAGGAGGUAACCAUCAAGAUGAGACGCUGAGCCCGAAGUGGAGAUGCGAAUGGCCAACCAAGGCUUGCGAACUUCUGCAGCAGUUAAGAUGACACCUCUUGGAAACCCCAAGAAGAGAUCUUAGGAGGCUGGCAAUUUGUAUGUCCCUCGUUCCUCCUGGUGGUCAUCUCAACUCCAGCAUCACUUUCUACAGGAAGAGAAAGGGAAGCACAAGAGCGUGUAACACUGGAUCUGUCCUAUCAAAGGGCUUUCCAAGCUUCUGUUUGUGUCUCACAGAUCAGCCUGUUUCAAACAGCCACCCAAGUACAAGGGAAGCUAGUGCCAAUGCGGGAGGAAGGUGUACUUGUAACUAGCCUUACUGAAGUCUGACCCAUGUCCCCCAUGCUGCACCUUCUGGGAGGAUACCUGUGGACGAGUUUCAAUAAAUGCAUACACGGCAGUCGAGAUACAGAACGUCCCCAUUUCUGUCCUUGGGCCCUUUUUAAGCAGUCAAUCCCUUCUCCCAUCUUGGCCCCAGAUAAUCACUGAUCUGUUUUCUGUCACAAUAAAUUAGUCUACCUUUUCUGUAAUCUUUAAUGCAAUCAUAUAGUAUAGACUUUGUCUGGCUUCCGAUGUUUCUGCCAUUUCCAUAAGAAAACUUUGCUCUGGCUAGAUCAGUAAGCUCUGGGUGAAGAAUGUGCGACUAUAAAUUUUUGUUGUUUUAAGUCACUGAAUUUUGCCAAUAGAUAACUAAUACAGUACAGCAGAUUAGUGUGGUAAAUUCUGCUGGAGGCCUACCAAUAAAAAUUCUUCCCCUUAUGAAUACUUCGAAUAAUGUGUCAGCAGAGGAGAGAUACCUGCCAAAUAAGUGUAUUAAAGGAUACUCAGAACCAGUGUUCCUCAGAGAACUGCAAGCCCAAACCACGUGGGGGGCCAUUGCCUACACACCAGAUGACUAAAAUUAAGAGCCACAAUAAACAUAUUGUGUUACAUCCACACGAUGGUGUGCUCCCCAGCAAUGAGGAGGGACCGUGUUGAUCCCCUAUAACCUAGGUGCAUUCAAAGCCCUGUGCCAGGAGAGAGAAGGCAGAUCCCAAGGCUGAACUGUCAGAGGCCUCCUACAUCCUGGAAAAGGCAAAAACUGGGGUGACCAAAUGAAAGGUCACAGAGGGACAUAAGACCUCUUUAGGGUGGCUGAAAUAGUCCCAAUCUUGGUUGUGGUGGUGUGUGUGUGCAGAUAUAUAAGUGUGUAAAAACUCAGAAGUAUACACCUGAAAAGGGAGGGUUUACUAUGCCGUCACACCUGGGUGACCAUGGAAUGAAGACCAUGACUAGAGCGAGUUCUCACGGCAGUCAACAAACGCAAAAGGCCAGCCCACCACACACAUAAAAAAAGAAUGAAGGGCAGGAGAACUGAAGAUAAUUAUUGGGAAAAAGUAAAUUUGAGGAUGAAUAUCAAUGAGAAUGUAUUGUUGUCUAGACCAACACUGAUGUCUCUGGGGUUCUGAAUAUAUGUACUGUUGAAGGCAUGUAAUAUUAACAUACAUGAGACCACACAGGUGGGAAUAGCCAGAUGCAAAUAAAGUGGUCAAAAAUCUUUA